CCAGACUCCUACGGGAGGCAGCAGUGGGGAAUAUUGCACAAUGGGGGAAACCCUGAUGCAGCGACGCCGCGUGAAGGACGAAGUAUUUCGGUACGUAAACUUCUAUCAGCAGGGAAGAAAAUGACGGUACCUGACCAAGAAGCCCCGGCUAACUACGUGCCAGCAGCCGCGGUAAUACGUAGGGGGCAAGCGUUAUCCGGAUUUACUGGGUGUAAAGGGAGCGUAGACGGCCAUGCAAGUCUGAUGUGAAAACCCGGGGCCCAACCCCGGGACUGCAUUGGAAACUGUGCGGCUGGAGUGUCGGAGAGGCAAGUGGAAUUCCUAGUGUAGCGGUGGAAUGCGUAGAUAUUAGGAGGAACACCAGUGGCGAAGGCGGCUUGCUGGACGACGACUGACGUUGAGGCUCGAAAGCGUGGGGAGCAAACAGGAUUAGAUACCCUCGUAA
rnacentral:rRNA from 1 species